rnacentral:rRNA from 1 species
UACAGAGGUCCCAACCGUUGUUCGGAUUCAUUGGGCGUAAAGGGUGCGUAGGCGGUCGCGCAAGUCGGAUGUGAAAUCUCGGGGCUCAACCCCGAAACUGCAUUCGAUACUGCGUGGCUAGAGUGCUGGAGAGGAGACUGGAAUUUACGGUGUAGCAGUGAAAUGCGUAGAUAUCGUAAGGAAGACCAGUGGCGAAGGCGAGUCUCUGGACAGCAACUGACGCUGAGGCACGAAGGCCAGGGGAGCAAACGGGAUUAGAUACCCCCGUAGUCC